rnacentral:rRNA from 1 species
AUGUCGAGCAAUGGCGGACCAACGGUCGCCGUGAAGCUGUUCAUUGACAAGGAGAAGAAGAGGGUGCUGUUCGCCGAAUCCGACAAGGACUUCGUGGACAUCCUCUUCAGCUUCCUCACGCUGCCUCUCGGCACCAUCGUCCGUCUCUUCAACAAGCAGUCUCAGAUCGGGUGCCUGGACGAGCUGUACAGGAGCGUGGAGAGUCUCGGCGAAGAUCACUUCCAAACCAAGGAGUGCAAGGCCAUGCUCCUUCGUCCCGUCAAUGCCGCGGCACUUCACUGCGACCGGCUUAGAGUCAAAGUUGACGACGCCGAUCUGACGGCAAUAUAUGUCUGCUUUUAUUAUGGGAGCUGCAGCGAAAGGUACUUCAGCACAGUACGGGGUAUUCGAUGCAGGUGUGGUACUACUCUCUCGUUGCUGCUGGAGAAACUGCGGAUGGGAUUUUUUUCCAAAGGUGGAUCGAAGUUCAUCAUCACGGAUGAUCUUCAUGUUGCUCCUUCCUCUACGAGUCUCAUGUUCUCCCUGAUGGACAAGCUUGGGCUGCAUGAACAAUUGAAUAUCAAGGAGGAGGUGCUACAUCUCAAUUCCAAUAAGAUGAUUGGCUUGCUUAGGAGAGCACUGCUGUCUAAGCACCCUUUGACUGGCCUAUAUUUCAAUGCUGCUAUAACGCCCAAUGGGGUGAGUUCUUCCCAGCUUCCUCACAAUCUGUUCGCACCACAAGCAAUUGAGGCUGAGCCCAAGUUCAAACCAAUAACGAUAAAGCUUGUUCAGAAGAAGGAUAAUUCCUCGGUGUUGUACGCGGAAGUUAAACAAGACUUGGUUGAUCUUUUGUUUGGCCUCCUUUGCAUUCCUGUUGGGUCUAUAAUGAAGACUUAUAGUCGACUGUCACCAAAUAGAUGUCUUGAUAAUCUCUACAAAAGUGUAAAUGGAGCAGGAUGA